GGGGGAGUAGCUCAGUGGUAGAGCAUAUGCGUAGCAGGAGGAGGUCCUGGGUUCAAUCCCCAGUACCUCCA
rnacentral:tRNA from 1 species